UACAGAGGUCUCAAGCGUUGUUCGGAUUCAUUGGGCGUAAAGGGUGCGUAGGCGGCGCGGUAAGUCGGGUGUGGAAAUCUUGGAGCUUAACUCCGAAACUGCAUUCGAUACUGCCGUGCUUGAGGACUGGAGAGGAGACUGGAAUUUACGGUGUAGCGGUGAAAUGCGUAGAUAUCGGGAGGAACACCUGUGGCGAAAGCGGCUCACUGGACCACAACUGACGCUGAUGCGCGAAAGCUAGGGGAGCAAACAGG
rnacentral:rRNA from 1 species